GCGAGCUCGGAACCUGCGGGCGGCGGGGGUCGCGUGGCGGCUGCGGUGGGCGCGGCCGGGAGCGUCGCGCGGCGGGGGGAGGGCAAUCGCCUCAGCGGGGCGGGCGGGAGGAACCGCGGCUGCCAGAGGCGCCUCAGCCGCUCUGGGCUGCAAGGACAUCCUGUGUUACUGAAGGAAGGUGCUACUCUUUGUGGUGUGACUUAUCAUGUCAAGAACUGUAUCAUCCUGGAUCUUAAGCUCAGCAAGAAACAGCAUUGUUUUACAAGGAAAAGGACGUCUGUACUCCAUCUGUGUCCCAAACAGAAACACGAUAAAAUGGAAGCUUGUUUUCUCCAAAACAUAUCUCUACCCUGCUGGGAACUGCAGUUUAGACAAUACUUUCUCCUUAAAAAAAGCAUUUCGACACACUUCCACUGAAGAAGAACAAUUCUCUUUCCAGUUGUCUCCAUCACAAAUCAACGAUAUACUCAGAGCAGGUGAAUUAUCCCAUAGAAUACUGGAUUUGAAUGGUAAAAAUGCAAAUUCUGUAUUGAGGUUUGAAAGUAACCAGUUGGCAUCCAACACCCCUGUUGAAGACCGCAGAAGUGCAGCCACCUGCUUGCAGACCAAAGGGAUGAUGUUUGGAGUCUUCGAUGGUCAUGCAGGUUCUGCGUGUGCCCAGGCAGUGAGUGAGAGACUGCUUCAUUAUAUAGCAGUUUCUCUCAUGUCUCGGCAAACCUUGGAAGAGAUGGAGCUUGCUGCGGAGUGCUUGAAACCAGUUCCACCUAUUCUGCAGUGGCACAAGCAUCUAAAUGAUACAGAAUAUCAAGAAAUAACUUCACAGUAUUUUGAAAACCUCCGCGUUUACUGGCAACAUUUGCUGGACCUAGAUGCUGAGCCAGCAUUUAGUUUAGAAGAAGCCAUGAUAUGUGCAUUCAAAAGGUUAGACUCAGACAUAUCGUUGGAAGUUCAGGCUCCUCAGGAAAAGGAACUGAUGAGAAAUAUUGCCCUUCAAGUAGCUUUUUCUGGUGCAACAGCCUGUGUAGCUCACAUUGAUGGUGUUCACUUACAUGUUGCAAAUACUGGUGAUUGCAGAGCAAUUUUAGGGGUUCAUGAAGAAGAUGGAACAUGGUCUACUCUCCCUCUAACUCGAGACCACAAUGCCUUCAAUGAAUUUGAAAUCAGAAGACUGAAGAGAGAGCAUCCUAGAUCUGAGGAGAAAACACUAUUUGUGAAUGACAGAUUACUUGGAAUUCUCAUACCAUCUAGAGCUUUUGGAGAUGUGCAAUUAAAAUGGAGUAAAGAGUUGCAACACAGCAUUCUGGAGAAUAGCUGUGAUGUUGAGGCUUUAAAUAUUUAUCAGUAUGUUCCUCCAAGCUACUAUACACCUCCUUAUUUAACUGCAGAGCCUGAAGUCACAUACCACAAAUUAAGAGGCAAGGAUAAAUUUCUAGUUAUUGCUUCGGAUGGUCUAUGGGAGAUGCUAAGUAAUGAGAAGGUUGUAGAACUUGUUGCUGGACACCUUACAGAGCUUAAUGUGCAGAAACCACAACUGGCUUUUGAGAAACCAGUUAAUUUGGGUUAUAUGCACAGCUUGUUACUUCAGAGGAAAAAUAGAGGCGUUACCUCACUUGACCAAAAUGUAGCUACUCAUUUAAUACGGCAUGCAAUUGGAAGUAACGAGUAUGGGGAGGUGGAUCAAGAGAAACUUACUGCGAUGCUGACACUGCCUGAAGACCUUGCAAGAAUGUACAGAGAUGAUAUCACAGUUACUGUGAUCUAUUUUAAUUCAGAAACAAUUGAAAAUUACCACAGAAACAAUGAAUAGAGACUUGCACUGCUGCUAUUCUGUACCACUAGCCAGCUUUGAUACUGAAACCAUUAUUGUUUUUUCUCUGAUAGUCAAGCUGUUCCUAGUGUUAUGGUCUGGAAGUUCCUAAAUCGUUUGAUUACUUACUAGUCUUGAAAAUAACUUUAUAUAAGCAAGUUUGGUGAAAGUUGUCUGAGUUUCCAGGUCUGUACGCAACGAAGAAUAAUGUCUUGAUAAAUGUUCACUGAAAUGUAACUGAACUAAUGAACGCUGACCCAGUUCUGAUUCUAUGGGAACUACUGGUAAAACUUUCCAAAUGAACAAACAGGACAAAUUUCUCUGAGACUGGUGCAAUUUAAUAGAGAGAUGGAUAAUACCUGUAGCUGCAUGGAGUGUAGGAAAGGCUCCGCUCUUAUGGAAAAUGCUUUUGAGUGGGGUGGAACUGAGCCAUGCUGCUCACUGCUCCUGGAUGUGCUCACCGAGUGAAAGGGAGAGGACCCCCAAAGGAAGAUGGCAGCCAGGAGUGGCACCUGUACUCAAGCUGGACAGAGAGAUUAAAGCCUGGAAAGCCCUACAAAGUACAGAGCCUGUUCCAUGGGAUGUCUUCCAUUCUUCCCAGCUGGACCAAAGCACGAUUCAUACAUUUUCUCUUUCAUCUUGUCAUUCUUUGUGGCGAAGCAGGGAUUGCCCAGAUUGGUAUGCAGGCCAAAAAAAGACACAAUUUAUUUGUAGUCAGUGAAAGCAACUUUUAAGAGCAUGAAGACUGGAUAACAAGAACAUGUCAGAGGUAGGUACACUGUCUUCAUAUCAUUCAUAGCAAAGUUCCUGCAGUUUUAAGGAUUAGUAGAAUAUGUUGCAAGUGCUAAACUAGUAUGAUACAUUAACUGAUGUAUAUACAAUUUGCUUCUAAGCUAUAGUGCUUACUUAUUGAGCCAUAAAAUGCAGAAAGCUGUUUAUUAUAUCACUUGGUAACUGCAUAAGUACAUUUCCUGUGGACUUAAGCACUCAGACUACAGAUUAACUGAAGUGUGUAUGUGCAAAUGGCAUAUGCAUUUAAAGUAAGGUAGUUAUGACUGAAGUUAAAGCUGAUACAAUGCUUACUUUGUGUUUCAAAGAAUAAAUUAACUCUCAGUUGUUUUACUAGGAAUGGCCCAGUAUUCUUCUUACCAACAAAAAUAAACGUGACAAGACUUCGUCACUUCCAUACUAAAAAUAAAAUCCAGAGUAUAAUCUCAGUUAAAGCUCUGAGUUUGUAGGAACAGACCCAAAAUGGUGAGUUUGAAGGGGAAAAGGAAGAAAGUGUUUAAAUAACAGCUCCUGUUUCAAGCUCCUGGUCAAUUUUGCCAUUAGUAAGAAUCGAUAAUGACACAGAAUUUGACAGGCUCUUUACAUUAUUGACUUAUGUUUCAAAAAACAAUGUCUAAAAUGCAUCGUUGUGAAAAUAAGUCAGUGCCAAUUUGAAGAGAAGCAAUUUAUGUGACUCAUUCCUAAUAAUUUUCUGUCUACCUCAAAAGUAUUUGUGUUUUUCAAAAAGUUGGCCACAGUGUUAAUGAAACUAUUUUCUGAUUUUCAGUUAUAAAACUAAUUUUGUUCUAUUAAAACUUCGGGGGGAAAAAUGGAAUCUAUUGGCAUUUCUUGUUUUUCUCUGCAAGCAUUUCAGACUAUGUGGAUGAUUUAUUUGUUGCUUUGCAUGGGAAAUAGAAAUUAUUGCUGCUUAGAUACCUUCUUAAUCCUUAGAC